rnacentral:lncRNA from 10 species
GUCGGGGCGAGGAAGCUGCCGGGGAAGUGAGAUGACGGUCGCGGGGGUGCCCAGGAGCCCUGAAAAACUUGUGCCCUGGGCACGGCAAAAUCUGCAGGUUGCAGAAAGUCUCAACUGAUCCUGGCAUACCCCGAGGUGCCGACUUUUAGAGCUGAAGAUGCAAGAAAGAUUGGGAUCCUGCGAUGCACCGAACCUGUCUCUCGAAGUGUGUGCGCCCUGGUACAUUGAUACUCUUGGCCUUUGGUUCCUUGCGGUGUGCGUGUUUGUGUAUGCGGAGUGUGUUAUCUUUCUUUCUAGGGUGACACACCAUUUAUUUGAGAGGCGGGAAAGGCAGAAUCACUAGUUUAAUAUUCUGAAAAGCCAAAGUUAUGCCAUUUUGCUUGAGAGUGAGUGCAAGCUCUUGACUCCCAGGAACAGUGCAGCUAACAAUUCACCUCAGGCGAGGGCAGAAGCAAUAGCCAGCUUCUUGGUUCUGCCUGUGGCUCAGUUCCUACAUAAUUGAGUACCAAAUAAUAUGUAAACCUCUAGGGAAGCAAAAAAGAGUAAUUCAGCUUCUACCCCCGAAGUUAUUGGAGGUAUAAUGGAGAGACUGAGACGUAAUCAAUUACAAUGUCAUCCUCAAUAAUAAUUAACAUGUACUGUAUUUAGAGUUUAUUAUGGGGACAAUUACAAUAUAUUAAUAAUAUACUGUAACAAUAACAGGCAACACUUAUUGAGCACUUAGGUGUUGUGCACUGCAU